rnacentral:lncRNA from 1 species
GCGACUGGUCUGUAGUGUCACCAGGGGAGCAGGGACAGCAACGAUGCAGCAGCUUAGUGGGUAGUCGACAGUCGGAGUGCAGGGACUAUGCAGCGAUCCACGAAUAAUAAGCGACGGAGGAGGUUAGCCAGCUAUUUUUUAGGACUGGGCAGGGAAGCUCGCGGGGGCUGUUGGUGUUGGCUGCUGUUCAGGCGACGGAGAAGGUUAACUGCAUCGUUGGUGGCGCGGGCUGCAGUAGGAGGGCGGUGGCGAACGGCGUGAGAUACUGCUCUGUGGAGAUACUGCUCUGUGUGGCCGUGUGAUGCUUGGCCAUGGGCUCCCUUUUCUCUCUACGCCCUCUCUCUUUUGUUUCUCAAAUAUCCUCUCAAUCUUUCCCCUCGACCUCUUAGUGAAGACCUAAUCUGUAAUUACAAUGAAACCUAGGUCUAAUCUUAUUAUUCGGGCUAAUUCUCUGGCCAUAUUAAUGAAAUAAUG